GAUCCUGGCUCAGAUUGAACGCUGGCGGCAGGCUUAACACAUGCAAGUCGAACGGUAACAUAAAGAAGCUUGCUUCUUUGAUGACGAGUGGCGGACGGGUGAGUAAUGCUUGGGAAUCUAGCUUAUGGAGGGGGAUAACUACGGGAAACUGUAGCUAAUACCGCGUAAUAUCGAAAGAUUAAAGUGUGGGACCUUCGGGCCACAUGCCAUAAGGUGAGCCCAAGUGGGAUUAGGUAGUUGGUGAGGUAAGGG
rnacentral:rRNA from 1 species